GAGCAAAGGGGCCGGAUAAAGUGCCGAUCUUUGCAUUGAAGGUUGGCGGCCGCGAUUGCAGUUCUCCAUGCCGCUCAGAUUUUCCUAUGUUUUGUGACGGCCUCGAACAAGCUGCUACAUC